rnacentral:lncRNA from 1 species
GAAAGGAGCAGUUUGCCUCUCUCUGUGAUUACCAAACCAGAGUGAAAGCCUUCAACUACGGACCACUGCAAUUUCCACCAUAACAGGCAACCCAGCAAUUAGAACUGUUUGUUACAGUGACAGCAGAGAGAACCAUUUUCAAGCAACAAGGCACAGGAGCAGGAGCUGGAGGAAGAGAGAGCCUGUUCAUUUGAAGGGGACUAACGCCACACAGCAGCUAAUCCUGGAAUGGCAGGCAGUUUUGGGAACUGCCUAUCCUGCAAAGGCUGAGAUAUUCACAGACAUUCUUGAACUUUUGGAAAUGGUCUAAUUCUGCUUUUUUCUGACCAGGAAUACAAUUGGGUCAUAAAAUUUGGCGUUUGGGAAGAGACAAAGGUUUAUCUUUAGUCCAGUGCAUAAUUUAAUUUCUUACUUCAAUAUUAAAAAUGAAAACAUAAAGGUAGGCACUUUCUUUUCAAAUUCUGGAUUUUAGUGAGUAUUUCGGUGCUCAGAAAACAUCUCACAAUUGAAACUUUGCAAACAGAGUCAUGUUUGUUUACAACAAAAGUACUUGAAAUAAAACUACAGCAUGUUAUUCUGUUGCCACUUUGUCAUUUAUUCUCAUUUUCAUAUGUUUUAAAUUAUGUUACAAAUUUAUUGAUAGCUUGGGAGAAAAUGCCAA